UACGGGGGGGGCAAGCGUUGUUCGGAAUUACUGGGCGUAAAGGGCGCGUAGGCGGCCUGCUAAGUCACACGUGAAAUCCCUCGGCUCAACCGGGGAACUGCGUGUGAUACUGGCGGGCUUGAAUUCGGGAGAGGGAUGUGGAAUCCAGGUGUAGCGGUGAAAUGCGUAGAUAUCUGGAGGAACACCGGUGGCGAAGGCGGCAUCCUGGACCGAGAUUGACGCUGAGGAGCGAAAGCGUGGGGGAGCAAACAG
rnacentral:rRNA from 1 species